rnacentral:lncRNA from 1 species
UACGGAAACUCAGAAUUUCAAAGCUGGAAGCUGCCUUCUUAGGUGAUCCAUGUCUACUCUCUGACAAGCCUGUGUUUCCAGCCAGCUGAGCCUCGCCCCUUGGGAGCUGCGACCCAAAGCAAUCUUGUCAUCCUGCCCUGCUCCUGCCCUUUACCGCCUCCAGCCUCGGCUUUAUGAUUUGACUCAAACCCUUGUGGCAGGCCCGGGAGCCUUGCCACCUCUGGGAGAUGGAGGAAUGUUCACCAGCCCUUCAUCCCUGUAACUAAUCCUGGCUGAGGAGUUCCACAGGGAGAGGCAGCUGAGAGAAGACUGCUGCCUCUGAGCCCCAAGGUAACAGAUGGAGCUGCAACCAGGGACGUGGCUGAGAAUUCUACUGGCUAGAGAGGGCUCAAGGCGGCUGCACCCAAGGACCCCCGCUAGAAACGACCCCUUAAAGAAAAGGCAGCCUGAAGAGAGGGAGAGUGGGCCAGGUGAGAAGGGAAGAUAAACCCUGUUUGUCAUAGGUUUCUGUCCUCAGAGGAAGGAGGAAGAGCAAAAGAUCCAAAAGUUUUGGGGAGAGCCCUGUUCAUACCCUAAUGCCUGGAACCCAAGCUGUUACCUCAUGUGGCAAAAGGGAUUUUGCAAAUGGGAUUAAAACCACAACCUGGAGAUUGGAGGUGACACUGGAUUCUCUGGGGAGCACAGUCAUGUGAAUCCUAAAAGCAGAGAACCUUUUCAAAUUGUACUGAGAGAUUUGUUGUGAGGACUGGCCUCGGAUGCUGGCUUUCAAGACAAGGAAGAGGGCCGUGAACUAAGGAAUGCGGGCAGCCUCUAGAAGCUGGAAAAGGCAAGAAAGUGGAUUCUUCCCUCGAAACUGCAGAAGGAAACGCAGCCCUGCUGACGGGGCUUGUUUUUAGCCCAGUGAGACCCACGUCAGAUUUCUGAUUUACACAAGAUAAUAAAUUUCCAUUGUUUAAGGCAUUAAGUUUACGUGAUUUGUCCCAACAGGGAUAGGAAACUAAUGAAGCCAGGUUCCUGAGGGGUACUGUAAAUAUUCAGUAAGAACAUGUUUCCCCUUUGACCUUGUUCCCAACACAGACACUGAUGAAAAGAAGUUAAUCCAUGCAUUAUUAUCAGUUUUUUAACUUGCCAUUUUCUUGUUUAACCUGAGGGUUGACUCAAGAGUCACAAGGAUUUAUGAGCUUGUUUUGCAGAAGAAAAAGAAGGCGUUUAAGAAAGCUACAACCACCAGAUAACCAGCCCCCAGCUGCUGAUGAUACCCAGAAGUCUGCUUCUCCAAGGGCUUAUCUGGAGUGAAAGAAAUAUGGACUUCCCCUUUGUUUCUCUGAAACUCCUCCUCUCAAACCCCUCAGCUCUAUAAAGACCCCCUGCUUUCUUCUUUCAUUAAGGUGGAUUUGAGAGAACCUGUCUUCCUGCCUUCUCAUUUUGGCCAAUUGGAAUAAACCUUUCUCUACCUCCAAG